rnacentral:rRNA from 1 species
UAGAGUUUGAUCCUGGCUCAGGAUGAACGCUAGCGGUAGGCUUAACACAUGCAAGUCGAGGGGCAGCACAGGUAGCAAUACUUGGUGGCGACCGGCGCACGGGUGAGUAACGCGUAUGCAACCUACCUAUAACUGGAGAAUAGCCCCCGGAAACGGGGAUUAAUGUUCCAUAAGGUUCAGAAGCCGCAUGGUUUUUGGACUAAAGCUCCGGCGGUUAUAGAUGGGCAUGCGUGACAUUAGCUAGUUGGUGAGGUAACGGCUCACCAAGGCUACGAUGUCUAGGGGGUCUUAAAGGAUGAUCCCCCACACUGGUACUGAGACACGGACCAGACUCCUACGGGAGGCAGCAGUGAGGAAUAUUGGUCAAUGGGCGCAAGCCUGAACCAGCCAAGCCGCGUGCAGGAUGAAGGCCCUAUGGGUUGUAAACUGCUUUUAUACGGGAAGAACCCCCCGAUGCGUUGGGGACUGACGGUACCGUACGAAUAAGCAUCGGCUAACUCCGUGCCAGCAGCCGCGGUAAUACGGAGGAUGCAAGCGUUAUCCGGAUUUAUUAGGUAUAAAGGGUGCGUAGGCGGACCUGUAAGUCAGCGGUGAAAUACUACGGCUUAACCGUAGAACUGCCGUUGAUACUGCGGGUCUUGAGUACAGUUGAGGUAGGCGGAAUGUGUGGUGUAGCGGUGAAAUGCUUAGAUAUCACACAGAACACCGAUUGCGAAGGCAGCUUACUAAGUUGUAACUGACGCUGAUGCACGAAAGCAUGGGGAGCAAACAGGAUUAGAUACCCUGGGUAGUCCAUGCCGUAAACGAUGAUCACUCGCUGUACGUCCAUUAGGAUGUGUGGCUGAGCUAACGCAUUAAGUGAUCCACCUGGGGAGUACGGCGGCAACGCUGAAACUCAAAGGAAUUG